rnacentral:rRNA from 1 species
UUCUUUUUUUGUUACCCGUGUGGCGCGCUGGGGCGGUUCGGAGGAGGGUGGANUUCGUUUUGUUUGCUCGCGCCCCGCUCCCCUCCCCCCCCCCCCCCCCCCCUAGGGGGGGGGGCGGUAUUUUGUAUUGGGCAACAGGGGAAAAUCUGAACCACCCGUCCCGAGCGCAAGGGAAAUGCGCUGUGGGUUUUAAAAUGUUUUUAUAUGAGAAGAAAUCCUUGGAUUUGUGCGGGCAUGACGGUAUCUUAUGAAAAAGCCCCGGCUAAUUCCGUGCCAGCAGCCGCGGUAAUACGGAGGGGGCAAGCGUUUUUCGGAAUUAUUGGGGUUAAAGGGGGCGUAGGGGGUCAUUUAAGUCAGGGGUGAAAACCCGGGGCUCAACCUGGGAAUUGCCUUUGAUACUGCGUGUCUUGAGUCUGGGAGAGGGGGGGGGAAUUUCGCGUGUAGCGGUGAAAUGCAUAGAUAUGGGGAAGAACACCAAUGGCGAAGGCAGUUCCCUGGCCCUUAAUUGACGCUGAGGCACGAAAGCGUGGGGAUCAAACAGGAUUAUAUACCCUGGUAGUCCACGCCCUAAACGAUGUUUACUCGAUAUUGGGCUGUUAGGCGCUCAGUGCCCCAGCUAACGCGAUAAGUAUCCGCUGAGACUC